rnacentral:rRNA from 1 species
CCUACGGGAGGCAGCAGUGGGGAAUAUUGGGCAAUGGGCGCAAGCCUGACCCAGCAACGCCGCGUGAAGGAAGAAGGCUUUCGGGUUGUAAACUUCUUUUCUGAGGGACGAAGAAAGUGAAGGUACCACAGGAAUAAGCCACGGCUAACUACGUGCCAGCAGCCGCGGUAAUACGAAGGUGGCAAGCGUUAUCCGGAUUGAUUGGGUGUAAAGGGCGUGUAGGCGGGAAAGCAAGUCAGAUGUGAAAACUCAGGGCUCAACCCUGAGCCUGCAUUUUAAACUGGUUUUCUUGAGUGCUGGAGAGGCAAUCGGAAUUCCGUGUGUAGCUGUGAAAUGCGUAGAUAUACGGAGGAACACCAGUGGCGAAGGCGGAUUGCUGGACAGUAACUGACGCUGAGGCGCGAAAGCGUGGGGAGCAAACAGGAUUAGAUACCCCAGUAGUC